AAACUUCUACUAUUUCUUGGUCACUUUGACUUAUGCCUCCAAUUCUUCAUUUUUCUACUUGUAGUUUGUUGGGGGACUCCGGAAAUAAAGUGGCAUUUGAGCUGGUGCCUGGGGAAGAAGUAUGUGGUGCUGUGGAUAUCACUCUAUAUAAAUAAAAUGCUGAUUGGCCAGUAGCCAGGUAGGAAGUAUAGGCGGGACACACAGAGAAGAGAAUUCUGGGAAGUGGAAGGCUGAGGCAGAGAGACGUUGCCAGCCACCAUGAGAAAAUGUUAAGAUACUGGUAAGCCACAAGCCACGUGGCAACUUAUAAAUUAAUAGAAAUGGGUUGAUUUAAGAUAUAAGUACAGUUAGCAAGAAGCCUGCCACGGCCAUACAGUUUAUAAGUAAUAUUAAAUCUCUGUGUGUUUACUUGGUUGGGUUUGAGCAGGUGAGAGAGAAUUGUCCUGACUGUGGGCCAGGCAGGAAAACUCUAGCUACAAUGUGGAUAUAAGAUUCUGAUAAUCUUCAGAGGGUCUUGAUCUGACUGAGUUUUAAGUCAACAUUAAGGUCUUAGAGACUUGUGCUUCUGACAGAGAAGUGGGUGUCUAUUAAUUCUUGAAGACAAGAAUCUGCCUCAAAUAUCUGCUUAACAUCUUUAGUUUUUAUUCAGGCCAAGAAGGAGCAAUAUGUUUUGUGACAAAAAUCUGAAUAUAAGACAUGCAUCAGUUUGGGGAAAGUAGUAUGUGGUAAGUAUGAGGCAUUCAGCAGUUUAGAGACCUAUUGGGCAACAUGGACAAAACCUAAGCAAGUGAGGUAAAGACAUCACAGCUGAUUGAAAUGACCUCAUUCUCACCCCCAGCACCGAGAGAAACAUUUGUUCUGAGCUGUGAGCUCAUGCUUCCAGUAACUAAUUCUCUGUGUGUCUCCAAACACUGAGUAGCAAGUUAAAGUGCCAUUAAAUUAAAUAUAAGGACAAUUAAUCAUAAAUUUAGAAUCUGAUAUUUUCUAAGACAUAGUACAGGAUUUUGAUGGUGACUGUAUAUUAUUUAACAGAGUUUUGGUAAAGGGUAGCAGAAUUUAAACAAACCACUUUAAGAGAUGUGUCUUGAAUUUCUGGAUAACAUCUAAGAUGUUGAAAGAAGAUGCUUCAAGCCUGGGGUCAGUCUAGCGUAUUUUCAGCUUGGUAUUAUGGAGGACUACUUAGAUUUUUAUAUUGCCUGGCAUGAGCUGCAAACAAAAUGGGUGAUCAUUUUGCUGAACUCUUACACUGUUUAUAUAUACAUCUAGGAAAUGAUCAUAGUUUCUUCAUUUAUUCUACAAAGCAUGAUUGCAAUGGACAUUCUACCAGGCUGAUAAAUGAAAGCAGAACCUGUUUCAUUGAGUGGCUGACAGUUGGCAGUGGGAAGAUGGUGGAUGUGUUGUACAUUGUUAAACAAAAGAAAACAGCACAGGCCAGUGAAGUGAAAGCCACAAUGAUGGUAACUGAUACUAGAUGCCAUAACUGGCUGGCUGAAUAGAUAUGUUAUUGUUAUGAAAAUCAACUCUAAGCUUCAUAUUUUUGUAUGUUUUAAAGCAAAGAUGUAAUAUUAAUAGUAGUAGGGUUUAUUUGCUUUCUUUAAAAGGUUUUAUUUACUAAUUUGUAUUUAUGUGUGUAUAUGCAUAGAUGCUUAAUACUGUGUUGUAGAAUCAUUUGGACUUACUGAAUUCCCUGUGGUUCCAAGUCCUUAUAUUCCUGCCACAUCAGUCUGGUAAGGUCUCUACAGAGUCUCUAGAUAUCUUUUCUCUAGUGUCUAGCUAUUCUUUCUCUGGUAACAGCAUGGCAAUCUCCUGGCUAUGAAGUGGGUCAGUGAUCAAUGGCUUUUGCCAACAAGACAUGUUCACCCAAGGCUUAGGAAAUUUAAAUGAACAGGCUUGUCAACAAGCUGUCAGAAUCUCUUAACUACAGAAACAUUUCUGUCCAGGAAAUCUAUUGACAUUUUCCUUACGCAUUCUAAGAAUUUGUCAUACAUUAUUUUAUUUAAUUUAAUUAAAUAAUUAGUUCACGUGUAUGAGUGUUUUGCCUCCAUGUAUGUCUGUAUACCACAUGCAUGCCUGGUAACUACAGAGACCAAAUGAGUGCAUUGGAUUCCCUGGAUCUGGAGUUACAGAUGGUUAUGAGCCACCAUGUGGGUGCUAAGAAUAGAACCUGGGUCCUCAGGAAGAGCAUCCGAUGUUCUUGACUGCUGAGCCAUCUCUCCAGCCCAUUAGGAACAAAAAUUUUUAAAGGUUUUGACAAUUACAGCUUUUCAAUUUUAUUUUCUUUGUAAUGCCAAUCUGUUCUCUACUCGGGUUCUCUACUGGGAGAACACUCUGUCUAAUUCUGUAAGUCCAAGUAGUGAAUCUGAAUAUUUUAGCCAUUUAACUAUUAUUAUUUCAUUUCUGUAUAUAAAAGAAAAUUCUUUUGUUUAUGGCAUGGUAAGAGUUUUUGAGGAAAAGUGUGUCAAUCAAGGGCCAGUGGGGUAGUUUAGGAGGUGAAGCAUUUGCCAUCAAGUUCUGAUGACUUGUAUUCAACGCUGGGGCCCACAUGGUGGAAGGAGAGAACCUACUUGGCAAGUUGUGCUCUGAACGCUACAAGUGCACCAUGGCACACAUGUAUACACACACACACAUACACACACACACACACACAUGCACACACACACACACACACACACACACGAACAUGAAUACGGACACAAACAAAACUGUAAUUUUAAACUGUAAAAGAUACGAAUCUGUAAUAGGUGCUAAAUUCCAUGAUUUCUUGGCCUCCGUGUAAAAAUCACAUGCCUUCUAAUUGGUUCAGUAUUUUGUUAAUUUCACUAGAUUAAUCUUUCUUAAUGACAGCCUGUAUUUUCUUUUCUAGCUCAAUCAAUAACAGCCUUGAUAUCAAGACUUUGCUGGACAUGUAAAUAUGUUUAUGGCUAUCUGGUUUUAUCUUUUGAUUCUUGGAGGACUUUGCCUAAACUUUGUGUUAUUUGUUCUUAGAAAGCUUGUUCCUGGGGUUUUUAUCAUGAAAAAUUAUUUCAUAAAUACUGAGAAAUGUAAAUGUCAUGGUUUCGAUUAAAAGCUGAAAUAACCCAGAAAUGCUGUAAUGAUAGAAACUGUUCCAGCCCUUGCAGGAGAUCCUCCAGUUUAAAUGAGCUAACAAUGUGAAAACGUUGGAUGUGGAUCAUUGAAAGAGAGACACGAGUACAUAGUUCACAUAAAGAGCAACUGACUUUCCCAGCAUUCUUUGUAAGAUUGAGUGGCACGUUUUGUGGACAUCCCCCUUUCCCCAGUUAUUCUGAAAUUGCAGAGGAACAAGGAACUCGACCAAUGUUUCUGUCAGCUCCCUCACAGACUCUACCUCUGUUCCCUGCAGUGUCAAGGCCUUAGCACAUAGUAAUAUCUCUCACAAAAGAACCUGGAUAUUUCGUCUAACUCAGAAGUCAUUGUUUCUUACUGUGAAGCAUCCAAAAGUUCUGACUCAUGGAUCCUGCAUAUUUCCAAUUUUUUUUAACAUGAAAAGUUAACUCUAGUGAAGAGGAAAUCAGAGAGGGAUUUUCAAAGCUGGGUCUCUUUCCAGUACUGAAAUUCUGAUGUCGGACAGAACACCUGACUUCUGUCAGCCCUGCUUUCCUUAUGGGGCUAACAUGACAUGCGAGUUGCUCUCCAAAAUUAUAUGCAGACCUAAGGCUGCAUGUUUCAUGACUACUUCUAGGUUAUGAUGUGAUACUGAUUUGGCAUGUUGAGCUGACUCAAGCAUUUCCUUUUGCCCACAGGAAGUUAACUUUUGAGCUGUUUGGCUUUGUGACUGCAUGAUUUCACCUCAGUGGUUCUUUGUUGUAGUGGUUAAUUCUACAAUCCCUAUACAGGCUGACUGUGGAGUGAGGCUGGCUGAAAGCUGUGAGUGGUUUAGUUGUUAUCAUAGACAAACUGUUUCACAUUUCUUCCUCUUCUUCAAAACACUACUCUAGUUUUCUUUUUCUGACUGGCUCAGAAAAAAAGAUAGAUAGAUAGAUGGAUGGAUGGAUGAAUAGAUGGAUGGAUGGAUAGAUAGAUAGAUAGAUAGAUAGAUAGAUAGAUAGAUAGAUAGAUAGAUAGAUAGACAGACAGUAGGCAUUGCCUUCUGAGAGGAAAAAGCUACUGGGAUGCUAGGGUACCAGGACAGUCCUGGUUUUCCAUGACCUUCAGGAAGUGCCUUCAUUAUGAUGACCUCAUUCCUUAUCUAUUUUUAGUAAGAAUAUUGAGGCCAUUUAUUUUCAUUAUUUUUGUAAUGCUGGAAAUUGAACCUGGGCAUUAAGCAUGGUAGGCCAAGACUCUAUUUCUUAGCUACAAACCUAAGCCUGAGAAACUCAUUUAUGAUGCAGUGAUUUCUAACAAAAAGUAAAAUAUUUAUUUUUUCUCAAGAAAUAAAACUCCAGUAAAGAAUCUA